rnacentral:lncRNA from 1 species
GCCCAGUUCGAGCUUCCCUGGCUGCUUUGUUUACCUGUUCAAGCCUCAGAAAUGGCAGACUCCCCUCCCCCUGCCAGGCUGCUGCCUUGCAGGUUGAUCUCAGACUGCAAAGCUAGCAGUGAGCAAGGCUCUGUGGGUGUGGGACCCGCCAAGCCAGGCAUGGGAUAUAAUCUUCUGGUGUGCUGUUGGCUAAGACCAUUGGAAAAGCACAGUAUUUAGGCAGGAGUGUUCCAUUUUUCCAGGUACAGUCUAUCACAGCUUCCCUUGGCUAGGAAAGGGAAAUCCCCUGACCCCUUGUGCUUCCCAGGUGACAUGAUGCCCUACCCUGGUUCAGCUCACACUCCAUGGGCUGCACCCACUGUCCAACCAGUACCAAUGAGAUGAACCAGGUACCUCAGUUGGAAAUGCAGAAAUCAUGCAUCUUCUAGGUCAAUCACACUGGGAGCUGCAGGCCAGAGCUGUAGCCUCAUAAAAAGACUUGGGAAUUUUCCCCUUUUUCUAAGAACCAAUGACUUAACAUGUAAAUUAUCUAUAUUUGUUUAUUCUUCUUCAGAAUCACCCUACCGUCUUUAUGUCUUACCUCCAUUUUCUCCCAUCUUUGAAAGUUAAUUACUUUUCACAUUAAUUGCCUUCUCAUUUUCUCUUGCAUUCUGAA